UUGGAGCCAGAUUUUAAAAUCCUUGUCUUCCUUCUGCGUGCUACUUGAUCUAAAUGAGAUACGGCAAAGUCACAGAACCUGUUUUUAUGUUUUUGCCUGAUUCAUACGGGCUUCUCCGGUGAAGAUGGGCCUGAAGUAACGCUUGGGUUGCUUCUGACGUUAUAACUCAUCCUGUAGCUGCAGCAACCGUGGUCCUUGCAACCUCAUAAAAAUGUUGCCAGCAUUGUUUCGAUAGUGCUGCUUAAUUCUUGGAAGGUUCUUCGGACUUCACACAUUCCAGCAGUAGCUCUCUCAGCUCCUGUCCUGCACAGCUUUGAAGUGCUGGUGAUGUCAUUGAACUCUUAAGUGCAAGAUGAAACAAGUCUUUCUGGGGUUCUAAGUAGCGUCUUCAAAGUGUCUUCUGUAAAGACUUCUUCAGACUGUCAAUAGGAAGACUGAUAAACUCAGCAACAGUAUCAGAGAAAAGUAUCAAGGAAGGACUAGAACCUUGUCUGUCACUUGCUGUACCCCACCUAUCUUCAAAUCCAGUUGACUCCAAGUGAACUCUGCAAAAUUCCCAGGCUGGAGUGCGAUGGCGCGAUCUCUACUCACUGCAACCUCCAUCUCCUGGGUUCAAGCAAUUCUCCCUCAGCCUCCCGAGUAGCUAGGACUACAGAGCCUCCCUCUGGAGCGAAGUGGCAUAAUCUCGGCUCACUGCAACCUCUGCCUCCCAGGUUCAAGCGAUUCUCAUGUCUCGGCCUCUUGAGUAACUGGGAUUACAGUUUUCCUGGUUUCUUGGCUUCUCUUAUCUUCUUCACCAGAUCAGGAAGACUGGAGCAUUUCCAUGCAUGCCCUUGUCUCUCCUGAGUGCUCUGUGGACUGCACCUAGCUACAAGACAAGGUCUUACUCUGUCACCCAGCCUGGAGUUCAGUGGCGUGAUCAUGGCUUACUGCAAUCUCUGCCUCCCGGGUUCAAGGGACCUUCCUACUUCAGCCUCCCAAGUGGCUGGGACCACAGGCAUGCGCCACCACAUCCAGCUAAUUUUUUUUUUUUUUUUGUAUUUUUGGUGGAGACAAGGUUUUUCCAUGUUGGCCAGGAUGGUCUUGAACUCUUGGCCUCAAGUGAUUCACCUGCCUCAGCCUCCCAAAGUGCUGGGAAUACAGGCGCGAGUCACUGCAUCUGUCCUGUGACUGACUUUUUCAAGUCAGAUCUUUAUUUAUGAUAUGAAAAAAUCUAUC
rnacentral:lncRNA from 1 species